AACCCUAUGCGGUGGAUUACUCGGAUCAUGGGUCGAUGAAGAACGUAGCAAACUGUGCGUCAUCGUGUGAACUGCAGGACACAUGAACAUCGACAUUUUGAACGCAUAUCUCAGGUAUGCUGUAAUGUAC
rnacentral:rRNA from 1 species